rnacentral:rRNA from 1 species
GUUAGGAAUAUUGGACAAUGGGCGCAAGCCUGAUCCAGUCAUGCCGCGUGAGUGAUGAAGGCCUUCGGGUUGUAAAGCUCUUUAGUCCACGAAUAUAAUGACUGUAGUGGAAGAAUAAGCCCCGGCUAACUUCGUGCCAGCAGCCGCGGUAAUACGAAGGGGGCGAGCGUUAUUCGGAAUCACUGGGCGCAAAGCGUGCGUAGGCUGUUUUGUAAGUCAGAAGUGAAAGCCCAGGGCUUAACCCUGGAAUUGCUUUUGAAACUACAAGACUCGAAUUCGGGAGAGGAUAGCGGAAUUGUCAGUGUAGCAGUGAAAUGCGUAGAUAUUGACAGGAACACCAGUGGCGCAAGCGGCUAUCUGGACCGAUAUUGACGCUGAGGCACGAAAGCGUGGGGAGCAAACAGGAUUAGAUACCCCUGUAGUCC